rnacentral:lncRNA from 1 species
CACAUAAAAGGUUACUCGAGAGUACAGCGUGAAACCAUUAAAUAAGUCUAUUUGAAAUGGACGUAUAUAUAUCUUGUAGAAUUUGCAUGAAAUAAACGGGAGUGUACAUAAUCGAACUCGAGCCGAAAUGCGACAAAUAUAACAUUUCAAGAUACCUUCAAUUUAUAAUAACACCAUUUACAAUUUAAGUAGCUCACAAUCAGAGAUACAUACAACCUUCUCACCUUCCUAAAAUCAGAUGCAAACUCACAAAUUUUAUAUAUAGAUCAUUUUGACUUUAUGAAUAUGCUUAAACAAGAUAUACAAAAAUGAUUACUAUAUAUAUAUAUAUAUAUAUAU